rnacentral:rRNA from 1 species
AACAUGCAGUCGAACGGCAGCACAGGAGAGCUUGCUCUCUGGGUGGCGAGUGGCGGACGGGUGAGGAAUACAUCGGAAUCUGCCCAGUCGUGGGGGAUAACGUAGGGAAACUUACGCUAAUACCGCAUACGACCUACGGGUGAAAGCAGGGGAUCUUCGGACCUUGCGCGAUUGGAUGAGCCGAUGUCGGAUUAGCUAGUUGGCGGGGUAAAGGCCCACCAAGGCGACGAUCCGUAGCUGGUCUGAGAGGAUGAUCAGCCACACUGGAACUGAGACACGGUCCAGACUCCUACGGGAGGCAGCAGUGGGGAAUAUUGGACAAUGGGCGCAAGCCUGAUCCAGCCAUGCCGCGUGGGUGAAGAAGGCCUUCGGGUUGUAAAGCCCUUUUGUUGGGAAAGAAAAGCAGCCGGCCAAUACCCGGUUGUUCUGACGGUACCCAAAGAAUAAGCACCGGCUAACUUCGUGCCAGCAGCCGCGGUAAUACGAAGGGUGCAAGCGUUACUCGGAAUUACUGGGCGUAAAGCGUGCGUAGGUGGUGGUUUAAGUCCGUUGUGAAAGCCCUGGGCUCAACCUGGGAAUUGCAGUGGAUACUGGAUCACUAGAGUGUGGUAGAGGGUAGUGGAAUUCCCGGUGUAGCAGUGAAAUGCGUAGAGAUCGGGAGGAACACCAGUGGCGAAGGCGACUACCUGGACCAACACUGACACUGAGGCACGAAAGCGUGGGGAGCAAACAGGAUUAGAUACCCUGGUAGUCCACGCCCUAAACGAUGCGAACUGGAUGUUGGGUGCACUUUGGCACGCAGUAUCGAAGCUAACGCGUUAAGUUCGCCGCCUGGGGAGUACGGUCGCAAGACUGAAACUCAAAGGAAUUGACGGGGGCCCGCACAGCGGUGGAGUAUGUGGUUUAAUUCGAUGCAACGCGAGAACCUUACCUGGUCUU